rnacentral:rRNA from 1 species
AAACUUGAGAGUUUGAUCCUGGCUCAGAACGAACGCUGGCGGCAUGCCUAACACAUGCAAGUCGAACGAAGUCUUCGGACUUAGUGGCGCACGGGUGCGUAACGCGUGGGAAUCUGCCCUUGGGUACGGAAUAACUCAGAGAAAUUUGUGCUAAUACCGUAUAAUGUCUUCGGACCAAAGAUUUAUCGCCCAAGGAUGAGCCCGCGUAAGAUUAGCUAGUUGGUGGGGUAAAAGCCUACCAAGGCGACGAUCUUUAGCUGGUCUGAGAGGAUGAUCAGCCACACUGGGACUGAGACACGGCCCAGACUCCUACGGGAGGCAGCAGUGGGGAAUAUUGGACAA